UGUCUGGGAAACUGCCUGAUGGAGGGGGAUAACUACUGGAAACGGUCACUAAUACCGCAUAACGUCGCAAGACCAAAGUGGGGGACCUUCGGGCCUCACGCCAUCGGAUGUGCCCAGAUGGGAUUAGCUUGUUGGUGGGGUAACGGCUCACCUAGGCGACGAUCCCUAGCUGGUCUGAGAGGAUGACCAGCCACACUGGAACUGAGACACGGUCCAGACUCCUACGGGAGGCAGCAGUGGGGAAUAUUGCACAAUGGGCGCAAGCCUGAUGCAGCCAUGCCGCGUGUAUGAAGAAGGCCUUCGGGUUGUAAAGUACUUUCAGCGGGGAGGAAGGUGGUGAGGUUAAUAACCUUAUCAAUUGACGUUACCCGCAGAAGAAGCACCGGCUAACUCCGUGCCAGCAGCCGCGGUAAUACGGAGGGUGCAAGCGUUAAUCGGAAUUACUGGGCGUAAAGCGCACGCAGGCGGUCUGUUAAGUCAGAUGUGAAAUCCCCGGGCUUAACCUGGGAACUGCAUUUGAAACUGGCAGGCUUGAGUCUUGUAGAGGGGGGUAGAAUUCCAGGUGUAGCGGUGAAAUGCGUAGAGAUCUGGAGGAAUACCGGUGGCGAAGGCGGCCCCCUGGACAAAGACUGACGCUCAGGUGCGAAAGCUUGGGGAGCAAACAGGAUUAGAUACCCUGGUAGUCCACGCCGUAAACGAUGUCGAUUUGGAGGUUGUGCCCUUGAGGCGUGGCUUCCGUAGCUAACGCGUUAAGUCGACCGCCUGGGGAGUACGGCCGCAAGGUUAAAACUCAAAUGAAUUGACGGGGGCCCGCACAAGCGGUGGAGCAUGUGGUUUAAUUCGAUGCAACGCGAAGAACCUUACCUGGCCUUGACAUCCACAGAACUUAGCAGAGAUGCUUUGGUGCCUUCGGGAACUGUGAGACAGGUGCUGCAUGGCUGUCGUCAGCUCGUGUUGUGAAAUGUUGGGUUAAGUCCCGCAACGAGCGCAACCCUUAUCCUUUGUUGCCAUCGAUUCGGUCGGGAACUCAAAGGAGACUGCCGGUGAUAAACCGGAGGAAGGUGGGGAUGACGUCAAGUCAUCAUGGCCCUUACGGCCAGGGCUACACACGUGCUACAAUGGCGCAUACAAAGAGAAGCGACCUCGCGAGAGCAAGCGGACCUCAUAAAGUGCGUCGUAGUCCGGAUCGGAGUCUGCAACUCGACUCCGUGAAGUCGGAAUCGCU
rnacentral:rRNA from 1 species